AGAACCAAUGCCCUUCGGGGCUCCCUUGGUGAUUCAUGAUAACUUCUCGAAUCGCACGGCCCCGCGCCGGCGAUGGUUCAUUCAAAUUUCUUCCCUAUCAACUUUCGAUGCUACGGUAGUGUCCUAGCAUGGUUGCAACGGGUGACGGAGGGUUAGGGCUCGACCCCGGAGAAGGAGCCUGAGAAACGGCUACUACAUCCAAGGAAGGCAGCAGGCGCGCAAAUUACCCAAUCCCGACACGGGGAGGUAGUGACAAUAAAUACUGAUACAGGGCCCUUUCGGGUCUUGUAAUCGGAAUGAGUACAAUUUAAAUCCCUUAACGAGGAACAAUUGGAGGGCAAGUCUGGUGCCAGCAGCCGCGGUAAUUCCAGCUCCAAUAGCGUAUAUUAAGUUGUUGCAGUUAAAAAGCUCGUAGUUGAACUUCGGGCCUGGCUGACCGGUCCGCCUCACCGCGUGCACUGGUCCGGCCGGGUCUUUCCUUCUGGCAAACCUCAUGCCCUUCACUGGGUGUGUUGGGGAACCAGGACUUUUAC
rnacentral:rRNA from 1 species